UACGAGGGGUGCAAGCGUUGCUCGGAAUUAUUGGGCGUAAAGGGCAAGUAGGUGGUCUCAUUUGUCUGGGGUGAAAGCCUUGAGCUUAACUCAAGAAGUGCCCCGGAAACGGUGAGACUCGAGUAUUGGAGAGGGUCGUGGAAUUUCCGGUGGAGCGGUGAAAUGCGUAGAGAUCGGAAAGAACACCAACGGCGAAAGCACUCUGCUGGGCCGACACUGACACUGAGAGACGAAAGCUAGGGGAGCGAAUGGG
rnacentral:rRNA from 1 species